rnacentral:rRNA from 1 species
AGUGGCGAACGGGUGAGUAACACGUAGGAAUCUACCCUUAAGACGGGGACAACCCAGGGAAACUUGGGCUAAUACCGGAUGAGAGUGCGAGAGAUUGCAUUUAAAAGGAUGGCGAAAGUUGUCGCUUAGGGAUGAGCCUGCGGUCUAUUAGUUAGUUGGUGAGGUAAGAGCCCACCAAGGCGAUGAUAGAUAGGCGGCCUUAACGGGUGGUCGCCCACACUGGGAUUGAGAUACGGCCCAGACUCCUACGGGAGGCAGCAGUCGAGAAUAGUCUACAAUGGCCGGAAGGCUGAUAGUGCGACGCCGCGUGAACGAGGGAGCCCUUCGGGGUGUAAAGUUCUUUUCUAUACGAGCAGUGCUAUAUAUAUGGAUAGUAUAUAUAGAGGGAUAGUAGUAUAGGAAUAAGCAACGGCUAACUCCGUGCCAGCAGCCGCGGUAACACGGGGGUUGCGAGCGUUGUCCGGAAUUACUAGGCGUAAAGGGCAGGUAGGCGGAUCUACGAGUUUUUUGUUAAAGGCUACGGCUCAACUGUAGUAGAGCAGGAGAUACUGUAGGUCUGGAAUGCGGUAGGGGAAGACAGAAUUCCUGGUGUAGCGGUGGAAUGCGCAGAGAUCAGGAGGAAUACCGAAGGCGAAGGCAGUCUUCUAGGCCGUAAUUGACGCUUAACUGCGAAGGUGUGGGAUCAAACAGGAUUAGAUACCCUGGUAGUCCACACAGUAAACGAUAAUCACUAGAUGUCAGGUUCUAGAUGGAUUCGGUGUCGGAGCCAACGCGAUAAGUGAUUCGCCUGGGGAGUACGAUCGCAAGGUUGAAACUCAAAGGAAUUGACGGGGGCCCGCACAAGCGGUGGAGCAUGUGGUUUAAUUCGAGGCAACGCGAAGAACCUUACCCGGUUUUGACAUCCACGGGAGGCUUCAGAGAUGGAGCUGUGCCGGCGUAAGCUGGAGCCGUGAGACAGGUGCUGCAUGGCUGUCGUCAGCUCGUGUCGUGAGAUGUUGGGUUAAGUCCCGCAACGAGCGCAACCCUUGCCUUCAGUUACCAUCAUUAAGUUGGGGACUCUGGAGGGACCGCUGCGGUAACAACGCAGAGGAAGAUGGGGACGACGUCAAGUCAUCAUGGUCCUUAUGGCCGGGGCUACACACGUGCUACAAUGGCAGUUACAGAGGGAUGCGAUUCAGUAAUGAGGAGCGAAACUCAGAAAAGCUGCCGCAGUUCGGAUUGAGGUCUGCAACUCGGCCUCAUGAAGUCGGAAUCGCUAGUAAUCGCGCAACAUCAUGGCGCGGUGAAUACGUUCCCGGGCC